rnacentral:rRNA from 1 species
UGCCACAGCCAUAUCACACCGCUGACCAAGACCGGUUACUCACUGAAGCUAAGCAGGGCUGAGCCUGGUCAGUACCUGGAUGGGAGAGCACUUGGGAAAACUAGGUUGCUGUCGGAA